UACGGAGGGUGCAAGCGUUGAUCGGAAUUACUGGGCGUAAAGCGCACGCAGGUGGCUGAGUCAGUCGGUUGUGAAAGCCCUGGGCUUAACCUGGGAAUUGCAGUCGAUACUACUCAGCUAGAGUAUGGGAGAGGGUAGUGGAAUUCCCGGUGUAGCGGUGAAAUGCGUAGAUAUCGGGAGGAACAUCAGUGGCGAAGGCGGCUACCUGGCACAAUACUGACACUCAGGUGCGACAGCGUGGGGAGCAAACAGG
rnacentral:rRNA from 1 species